rnacentral:rRNA from 1 species
CACGUAGGGCGCAAGCGUUGUCCGGAAUUAUUGGGCGUAAAGAGCUCGUAGGCGGUCUGUUGCGUCCGCUGUGAAAACCCGGGGCUUAACCCCUGGCUUGCAGUGGAUACGGACAGACUAGAGGUAGGUAGGGGAGAAUGGAAUUCCCGGUGUAGCGGUGAAAUGCGCAGAUAUCGGGAGGAACACCAGCGGCGAAGGCGGCGACCUGGACGAGUAUUGACACUCAACUACGAAAGCGUGGGGAGCAAACAGG